rfam:Lepisosteus oculatus linkage group LG8, whole genome shotgun sequence.
UAUGGCCAGCCAUAUCACCCUGCAACUCACAACUGGGAACCCACUGCAGGUGUGAGCCUGGUCAGUACCUGGAUGGGAGACCUCCUGGGAAAAACUAAGGCUGCUGCUGGAA